GUUAGCGUGGCAGAGUCAGGUUAUGCAAAAGGUCUAAGCCCUUUGAACAGGGGUUCAACUCCUCUCUCUAACU
rnacentral:tRNA from 2 species